rnacentral:rRNA from 1 species
UCCUGGCUAGGACGAACGCUGGCGGCGUGCCUAACACAUGCAAGUCGAGCGAGGAGAUCCUUCGGGAUGAUCCUAGCGGCGGACGGGUGAGUAACACGUGGGCAACCUGCCUCAUAGAGAGGAAUAGCCUUCCGAAAGGGAGAUUAAUACCUCAUAACAUUGCAGUUUCGCAUGGAACAGCAAUUAAAGGAGCAAUCCGCUAUGAGAUGGGCCCGCGGCGCAUUAGCUAGUUGGUGAGGUAACGGCUCACCAAGGCGACGAUGCGUAGCCGACCUGAGAGGGUGAUCGGCCACAUUGGGACUGAGACACGGCCCAAACUCCUACGGGAGGCAGCAGUGGGGAAUAUUGCACAAUGGGGGAAACCCUGAUGCAAGCAACGCCGCGUGAGUGAUGACGGCCUUCGGGUUGUAAAGCUCUGUCUUCAGGGACGAUAAUGACGGUACCUGAGGAGGAAGCCACGGCUAACUACGUGCCAGCCGCUGC